GAGCUCACUUUGGCAACACGUAUACAAAAUUGGAACAAUACAGGGAAGAUUAGCUUGGCCCAUGCACAAGGAUGACACGUACGUUCAUGAAGCAUUCCAUGUUUUU
ensembl:snRNA U6 U6 spliceosomal RNA